CGUCGACUUUUCACAUCUGAAUUUGUUUGUUUUCUAUGAACACCGAAGUGCUUCUGAUGGUGUUUAUGAACAGAUGAUGAAGCUCAGGCUGAAUGCUUAGUGCUGGUGUUUAUUGUUUCGCUUUGUUAGUCCACUAGUUUUGUUACACAUUCACUUCCCACCGGCUGCAGCUUGUAUUAGCAACUCUCUCUCUCUCCCUCUCCUCUCAGACAUUGACCUCUGACCUCUCUCCCCUUUACCUCGUGUCAUUGCUGCUAAUGACUAUUGAAAAAGACAUUGAUGGGAUACAAAUGAAUGUAGAUGUUUGAGUAAAGUAGAGUUUCUAACAUCCUUCUCAGCCCAACACGGCGGCGUGUGACCCCGCCUCCAAGAAUCCCUGUCUCCUCUCUCUCGCGCGCUUUCUCGCUUUCUCCACCUCCGGCAGUCCUCUGAAAGCCAGACACUCGACCUCGCCUCCACUCCACCGCCACACUCCGUCAGCUGUAAACGCAUCAGUUUGUUUGGCUGCCACCGCGUAGGCUGUGAGAUUCCUGCACAGAAGCCACAGUAUGUUGGAAAGACCAGAGACCAAAACCUGAAGAGCUGGAAGAACUUUGGUUGCUGGCAUCACAAUAAACUGACACAAGUGGAAAAAUGUCCAAGUCUUCUAGCAUGAAUUAUGGAUCCCCGGGAUCUGCCCCCCUGCAGGAAUAACUGCCAACAUAUCAAGCCCAGAAAAUAAGACAUGCUUUUAUUGGCCAUAAAUAUCUAUACAUUUUGUGUUCUCAUCAUUUCAUCAUCACACACUACAAGUGAAGAUUUUCAUCUUUUAUUUUGUCUGAAAUGUUGGGGUUAGAGUUCAUGAUGUGAAAAAAAUCAAUAAAAGUGAAUUGUAAUAACUCACGAGAUGAUCUAAGCUUUACUCUGAUUCAUGACUCCAGGCUCAGUGUCUCUUUAUCAGUCUGUGCAUAUUUGUACAUUUGUCCCCAGCAUCUCCACACAGUAUAACUUUAAUAUCAAGACUAAAAUAAUUCGAGCUGCUUGUUUAUUAGCUCAGUGAAAGAGUCUGAAAGUGAACAUCAGCACUUCAUCAAAGCCUGUAGGAUUUUACGGCGGCAUAUACAGUUCAUAAACAUCACGGCGGAGGCUGCUCACCAGUAAAGAUGUCACAGUUUAGGGCUGAGGAUGGAUUACAGGCUCAGCUCAGACUCGUGCUGAAGGUUAAUGUUGAGACGUUUUAAACAGGCGUCCCUGAGACGUCCAGAGAUCUGCACUCCGUCUCUGCUAUCCUGAAUGUGCACUGAACUGACUCAUGUUAGAAAAUGAGAGUGUUCUUGCUGUUACAUGUUGGGACUCCAC
ensembl:lncRNA